rnacentral:rRNA from 1 species
AUGAACGCUAGCGGCAGGCUUAACACAUGCAAGUCGAGGGGCAGCAGGCUGUAGCAAUACGGUGCUGGCGACCGGCGCAAGGGUGCGUAACGCGUGAGCAAUCUGCCCGUAUCAGGGGGAUAAGCGAUGGAAACGUCGUCUAAUACCGCAUAACACCGUUCGUGGCAUCACGGAUGGUUGAAAGCUUCGGUGGAUACGGAUGAGCUCGCGAGACAUUAGUUAGUUGGCGGGGUAACGGCCCACCAAGACCGCGAUGUCUAGGGGAACUGAGAGGUUGGUCCCCCACACUGGAACUGAGACACGGUCCAGACUCCUACGGGAGGCAGCAGUGAGGAAUAUUGGACAAUGGAGGGAACUCUGAUCCAGCCAUGCCGCGUGCAGGAAUAAGGUCCUAUGGAUUGUAAACUGCUUUUGAGAGGGAGCAAUAAGGUGUACGUGUACACCGAUGAGAGUACCUUUCGAAUAAGCAUCGGCUAACUCCGUGCC